rnacentral:rRNA from 1 species
GGCAGCUUACACAUGCAGUCGAGCGGAGUGAUGGUGCUUGCACUAUCACUUAGCGGCGGACGGGUGAGUAAUGCUUAGGAAUCUGCCAUUUAGUGGGGGACAACAUUCCGAAAGGAAUGCUAAUACCGCAUACGUCCUACGGGAGAAAGCAGGGGAUCUUCGGACCUUGCGCUAAAUGAUGAGCCUAAGUCGGAUUAGCUAGUUGGUGGGGUAAAGGCCUACCAAGGCGACGAUCUGUAGCGGGUCUGAGAGGAUGAUCCGCCACACUGGGACUGAGACACGGCCCAGACUCCUACGGGAGGCAGCAGUGGGGAAUAUUGGACAAUGGGCGGAAGCCUGAUCCAGCCAUGCCGCGUGUGUGAAGAAGGCCUUUUGGUUGUAAAGCACUUUAAGCGAGGAGGAGGCUACUAGUACUAAUACUACUGGAUAGUGGACGUUACUCGCAGAAUAAGCACCGGCUAACUCUGUGCCAGCAGCCGCGGUAAUACAGAGGGUGCGAGCGUUAAUCGGAUUUACUGGGCGUAAAGCGUGCGUAGGCGGCUGAUUAAGUCGGAUGUGAAAUCCCUGAGCUUAACUUAGGAAUUGCAUUCGAUACUGGUCAGCUAGAGUAUGGGAGAGGAUGGUAGAAUUCCAGGUGUAGCGGUGAAAUGCGUAGAGAUCUGGAGGAAUACCGAUGGCGAAGGCAGCCAUCUGGCCUAAUACUGACGCUGAGGUACGAAAGCAUGGGGAGCAAACAGGAUUAGAUACCCUGGUAGUCCAUGCCGUAAACGAUGUCUACUAGCCGUUGGGGCCUUUGAGGCUUUAGUGGCGCAGCUAACGCGAUAAGUAGACCGCCUGGGGAGUACGGUCGCAAGACUAAAACUCAAAUGAAUUGACGGGGGCCCGCACAAGCGGUGGAGCAUGUGGUUUAAUUCGAUGCAACGCGAAGAACCUUACCUGUCUUGACAUAGUAAGAACUUUCCAGAGAUGGAUUGGUUGCCUUCGGGAACUUACAUACAGGUGCUGCAUGGCUGUCGUCAGCUCGUGUCGUGAGAUGUUGG